UUCCAACUAUCUGUUGCAGUAGAGAGCAAGGGACAUAUAAGAAAUCUCCAGGCAGCUUCACUUAGAUGCAUCAUCUUCUGCUAGGAGUCAGCUUGAAGAAUGACCUUCUCAGGUUAAUUCUUGGGUCAGUGUUUCGGCUUUUCUCCAUUGGUUCGUAAAAACCGCAUGGAGACUGCAACUGACAUGCUGGAUGGGGAAUAACCAAAUUUGUGGACAAAUACAAAGAGUUCAUCGCAAGGGGUGGUGUUUAGGAUAUAUACACAAAAGAGGAAACUUUUUUUUUGUACAGAACCAAAUUAUAUGAUGUAAUUGACCACUAUUUCUAAGAAAUGUUCAUCAUGUAUUAAGUA